rnacentral:rRNA from 1 species
GAAAUUAAUGUCCCAUAAUAAUUUGAUCAGGCAUCUGGUUAAAUUUAAAACUCCGGUGGUUAGAGAUAGGCAUGCGUCCUAUUAGCUUGUUGGUGAGGUAACGGCUCACCAAGGCUACGAUAGGUAGGGGGCCUGAGAGGGUUAUCCCCCACACUGGAACUGAGACACGGUCCAGACUCCUACGGGAGGCAGCAGUGAGGAAUAUUGGUCAAUGGUCGCAAGACUGAACCAGCCAUGCCGCGUGCAGGAUGAAGGCCCUCUGGGUUGUAAACUGCUUUUAUCUGGGAAUAAACCCCUUUACGUGUAAAGGGCUGAAGGUACCAGAUGAAUAAGGACCGGCUAACUUCGUGCCAGCAGCCGCGGUAAUACGAAGGGUCCAAGCGUUAUCCGGAUUCAUUGGGUUUAAAGGGUGCGCAGGUGGGGCCUUAAGUCAGUGGUGAAAUCCCUUCGCUCAACGAAGGAACUGCCAUUGAUACUGAGGCUCUUGAAUGUAGUUGACGUUAGUGGAAUGUGUCAUGUAGCGGUGAAAUGCUUAGAUAUGACACAGAACACCGAUCGCGAAGGCAGCUAACGAAACUAUUAUUGACGCUCAGGCACGACAGCAUGGGGAGCAAACAGGAUUAGAUACCCUGGUAGUCCAUGCCGUAAACGUUGAUCACUCGACAUUGGCGAUAUACUGUCAGUGUCCAAGCGAAAGUGUUUAGUGAUCCACCUGGGGAGUACGCCCGCAAGGGUGAAACUCAAAGGAAUUGACGGGGGCCCGCACAAGCGGUGGAGCAUGUGGUUUA